rnacentral:tRNA from 1 species
GCCGCGGUGGUGAAAUGGUAGACACGCUAGGUUCAGAGCCUAGUUCUCGCAAGAGAGUGAGAGUUCGAAUCUCUCCCGCGGCA